GAUGAACGCUGGCGGCGUGCCUAAUACAUGCAAGUCGAGCGAACAGACGAGGAGCUUGCUCCUCUGACGUUAGCUGCGGACGGGUGAGUAACACGUGGAUAACCUACCUAGAAGACUGGGAUAACUUCGGGAAACCGGAGCUAAUACCGGAUAAUAUAUUGAACCGCAUGGUUCAAUAGUGAAAGACGGGUUUUCUGUCACUUAUAGAUGGAUCCGCGCCGCAUUAGCUAGUUGGUAAGGUAACGGCUUACCAAGGCAACGAUGCGUAGCCGACCUGAGAGGGUGAUCGGCCACACUGGAACUGAGACACGGUCCAGACUCCUACGGGAGGCAGCAGUAGGGAAUCUUCCGGAAUGGGCGAAAGCCUGACGGAGCAACGCCGCGUGAGUGAUGAAGGUCUUCGGAUCGUAAAACUCUGUUAUUAGGGAAGAACAAAUGUGUAAGUAACUAUGCACGUCUUGACGGUACCUAACCAGAAAGCCACGGCUAACUACGUG
rnacentral:rRNA from 1 species